rnacentral:tRNA from 1 species
GCGAGAGUGGUGGAAUGGUAGACACGCUAGAUUUAGGAUCUAGUGCCCUUUACGGGCGUGCGGGUUCAAAUCCCGCCUCUCGCA